GACAGAGGAUGCAAGCGUUAUCCGGAAUGAUUGGGCGUAAAGCGUCUGUAGGUGGCUUUUUAAGUCCGCCGUCAAAUCCCAGGGCUCAACCCUGGACAGGCGGUGGAAACUACCAAGCUGGAGUACGGUAGGGGCAGAGGGAAUUUCCGGUGGAGCGGUGAAAUGCGCAGAUAUCGGGAGGAACACCAGUGGCGAAGGCGAGUCCCUGGACAACUCCUGACACUGAGGCACGAAAGCUAGGGGAGCAAACAGG
rnacentral:rRNA from 1 species